CAGCAAAACAAAUAAUUGUUCUCUCACUUGCAGCAUAUUUGAGAGUCAGCAAUGUUGGACAGCAUCAAACACCACAACAGAGUUGGUAAAUGCUAAAUAGUUUAGUGAUUUGGAUAAGAGUACAAGGCUAUGAACUCAUAGGUUUGUCACCUUGCACUUUGCUCAAAUGAGGAAUGCUGGCUAUUGCAAGACAAGGAAGAAGGAAAGGCUGAUCUUAGGAAAUUGUAUUUGAAACCUACUGAAAUCAGGAAGUUAUGUAUUUUCUUAAAAUUCAGAGUGUUUAUGUUCUCUCUCGUUUCUUAGGUACUAACACAGAGUCCAACCAUACAUUAUAAACCAGAGUUUAUCUCACAGACUGUAGGGAGUGAAUCCAAUUUUCUAGGCUCUGAUGGACCUCUUGACUUCCAAGACCCAUCCUCUUUCCUCACUUGUCCUUUACUUACCAAGACAAGGAGGUCAUAACAAUGAACAUGUAGAGUGAUCUGGCUACACCUACAACGAAACCUUUCAGAAGCAAAUAGCCAUAAUCAGAAUAGCUAUGGUAUUUAGACAUGAGCAUAAUAUAUAAAUUAUGUAAAUGAAUGUUUAUGAUCUUUAUUUUUAUAACCAACUCUACACUGACUUCAAACCAGUUCAGCUGAAUACAGCUAUUUCAGCUGUCCAAUACUGAGAAUAAGCUUUCCUUUUAGAGCAUGAGGGUUGUGAGUAACACAGCAGAAAGUAUAUUAAAAGUUCAAUAGACAGCUCAAAUAGCCUAGAAAUAUAUGUGCUGUCUAAAAUGUAUUUCUGCUUUUAUAGGCAGUGCUGGUUUUGACAGUGUCAAAUUUUGUAUGAGCAAAGGCCUUUACAGACACUUGGAAGUAACAAAUAUUUUGAGGAAAAGUGAGAAAGAAAAGACAUAAAAGGCUUCUUUAUGAUCCUUUAUGCUUUCUUGUGUUGAAACCAUUUUAACUUUUUUUUUUUUUUCUAACCACUUGCUGUAGGCAAAGCUGAAUUCAGAAGGAAUCUGUAAGAAAUCAGAUCUUAUAGAAGAAAAGAAACCAUUUAUUACUCUGCUUUUAAGCUCAGGGAUUACAUUUCAUAUAGUUUUUGCUCUUUACCUGUAUAUGACCAUAACUUGUUUAUUCAAAAAUAUUUUUUUAUUUCUAUAGUCAUAAUUUACUAAUGCAAUCAGUUUUAAAGCAAUGCCUUUAGAAUCUGUUUACACUGGACUAAUUGGCUUAACAUAUGUAAACAGAUAUCUGUAGAGAUUGUUUUGAAAUUAGUAAUCUAUUUUUUUUCAGAUCGACAUAUACUAAAAACAAUAUUUGUAAUAAAAAACAGAUUUAUUUCAGCCUGAUCUGUCACAAAAACAAACAAACAAACAAACAAACAAACAAACAAAAAAACCCACAGUUUCUGUGUACAUACAGUUUUGAUCCAUCCUGUGCCUAAUUAGAGUUCCUGACAUUAUUUGAAUAAAGGGAGAUGGUUAUAGAUCCACUAUGCUUUUUCACAUCAUCAAUACAAAAGGCAAAGUAAUAAUUCUACUCUAUUUUUAUGCACUGAUAAAGCAUCUAUACUGUGUAAAAGCAGUGCUAAAAGGUGCAUGUAUUCAUCAUAUCUUCAAUAUUUAGCUGCUAUUUUCUUCUCCACCUCCUGGCAUUGGAUCUGAUCCUAUGCUUACUGAAAUCAAUAGGAGAAUUAUUAUUAACUUCAAUAAGCAAGUGUAGGAUUAUGGUAAGCAGGGUGACUUAAGUAGUUUAGAAAAAUAGCUUUGUAUAUCCUAAAUGGAAAAAAAACCCACUUUGAUUCUCUUCACUGUCCGGUGACUAGAUUAUUUUAUUAAAAUGUUUUUUUUUUCUUUUUUUUUUUCUUUUUUUUUCCUAAAACAUCUCAGCUGUAGCAGUUGCCAGGAAUGUACACAGCUUUUCUAAAUAGAACAGGCUGCUCUGAAAGUAAUGCCUCCUAUUUUAUGAUGUUGGCCCACAGUGUCAGAGGCAAAUGGUGGUGGUACGGCAGUUGGGGUUUAACUUUCCCAAUAUUUGGGAAAGUUUUUGGUGCAACAGAUGGCAGCAGAGGGGCAGUUUGAUAACAUGGCACAUUGCCAAUCUUGGCUGGACUGUCCUACCACACCCACCACAUAGUUACGAUUUGGUGUCUUCUGCGUUCCAUCUGUUCAGGCUGAUGAAAGGCUGCAUAGGCAACAUUUUCCUAGCAGUGACACCAUCCUAGCAGCUGUGAAACAGUGGGUCACCUCUGCUCAUGCAGAUUCUUAGGACUACAGCAUGAAGGCUCUCAUUCAUCGCUGAAGAAAAUGCAUAGCUAAUGAUGGUGACUGUGUUGAAGAAUAGUGUUUUGUAGCUGAGAAUUUGCUCUAUCUAAUAGUGUUGUGCUCUUUGUAUCUAUUGUAGGUUCCACAGAAAUAAAUAGGAGGCAUUACUUUGUAGAUAUAAAAAAAAAGCUGUACAAAGAAGUUUACUAUCACCGAUCUCUUCUCUCACAUAUGAAAAUAUACCGAAACUAUCAAUUGCUCUAAUGUGAGCUGUCUGGCAGAAGACCUAUUCCUGGCUUAAGCAGAUUUUUCACAAGCUGUCCAGGCUGUCCUCCCACUGACAGUUUGGAGGACAGUUUUGUAUCUUUUUUUCAGCUAUUCCGGGAGCAGAAUAACUAGUAAAACUUUGGCAGAAAUUACCUUUUGUAUUUAUUUUCUCCUGCACUUAUACUGUAACUUAACUUCUGUUAUUGUUGGGCUGAACUACCUUAACAGCCUGGAGUGCAUGCAGGUUUCAAACUCAUAGAUCAACCUGACUAAUGAUCUUAAAUGUAAUAAAAGCC
ensembl:lncRNA